rnacentral:rRNA from 1 species
CAGCAGCCGCGGUAAUACGUAGGUGGCAAGCGUUGUCCGGAAUUAUUGGGCGUAAAGCGCGCGCAGGCGGAUAGGUCAGUCUGUCUUAAAAGUUCGGGGCUUAGCCCCGUGAUGGGAUGGAAACUGCCAAUCUAGAGUAUCGGAGAGGAAAGUGGAAUUCCUAGUGUAGCGGUGAAAUGCGUAGAUAUUAGGAAGAACACCAGUGGCGAAGGCGACUUUCUGGACGAAAACUGACGCUGAGGCGCGAAAGCCAGGGGAGCGAACGGGAUUAGAUACCCCAGUAGUCCCUGUCUCUUAUACA